UUUAUGGGGUUAGGGGCUGUAAAGCCUUGAUAUUAAGCACUUUGGGGCUCUUUCCCAAGGUGCUUUUUUUGAAUU
rnacentral:sRNA from 1 species